rnacentral:rRNA from 1 species
CACGCAGGCGGUUUGUUAAGUCAGAUGUGAAAUCCCCGGGCUCAACCUGGGAACUGCAUUUGAAACUGGCAAGCUAGAGUCUCGUAGAGGGGGGUAGAAUUCCAGGUGUAGCGGUGAAAUGCGUAGAGAUCUGGAGGAAUACCGGUGGCGAAGGCGGCCCCCUGGACGAAGACUGACGCUCAGGUGCGAGAGCGUGGGGAGCAAACA